CCUGAAAGGCAGGUGCCAGUAGGUGUCACUUCCUGUUGCCACAGUUGAAUGGCAGGUGCCAGUGGGUGUCACUUCCUGUUGCCAGUUGCCGUUUGAGGAUCGAACCCUUACUGCCUGAGAGAGAGAGAGAGAGAAGAACGAGCCAGAAACCCCUUAAACAUGACGUUUUCUGGAGUAUUAUGACCAGAGCCUACCUGGAAUCAUAAGGAGCAAGGCAGACCGUGAGCCAAUCCAUUACUGGCUACCACAGACACUGACUGCUUCUGGCAGGUAGGAAGAAACUCUCAGAAAGAGAACACAAACUUCUCACAGACCAUAACCACUAUGCACCACUAUACAUC
rnacentral:lncRNA from 1 species